GACGAACGCUGGCGGCGUGCCUAACACAUGCAAGUCGAACGGAAAGGCCCUUCGGGGUACUCGAGUGGCGAACGGGUGAGUAACAGGUGGGUGAUCUGCCCUGCACUUUGGGAUAAGCCUGGGAAACUGGGUCUAAUACUGAAUAUGACCGCAUGCUUCAUGGUGCGUGGUGGAAAGCUUUUGCGGUGUGGGAUGGGCCCGCGGCCUAUCAGCUUGUUGGGGGGGUAAUGGCCUACCAAGGCGACGACGGGUAGCCGGCCUGAGAGGGUGACCGGCCACACUGGGACUGAGAUACGGCCCAGACUCCUACGGGAGGCAGCAGUGGGGAAUAUUGAACAAUGGGCGCAAGCCUGAUGCAGCGACGCCGCGUGAGGGAUGACGGCCUUCGGGUUGUGAACCUCUUUCAGCAGGGACGAAGCGCAAGUGACGGUACCUGCAGAAGAAGGACCGGCCAACUACGUGCCAGCCGCCGCGGUAA
rnacentral:rRNA from 1 species